GGCGGGAGGGGCGGGGCCGGGCUGAACCAUGGCGGGCGGCGGCAUGGGGGCGGUGGGGCUCCGCGGGCAGCCUGGUUGCGCUGCACCCGGACGGGGCCGAGGGGACCUGAAAGCUGCGGCAGAGCCUGACCGCGCCGUUCUCCAGAAGAGCCCCGGCCGCGGCUGAGUCGCGCUCCGGGUGUGGACGGAGCCGGAGCCUCCCCGGGGCUCGGUGAGGACACAGGGCCCAAGCCCCGGACCUUCAAGUCUUGACCGAGCGCAUCCCCGGCCCUUCUGCGCCCACACCUGAGUUUUUGUCUGUAGGAGUUUCCGCAGUUUGCUAAGAAUCGACAUCUAGAGGAGUACUCACCACUUAAUUGAUGAUCAAUACACGUUCCUUGAAAGAACCGAUAGCAUGCGAUCGAUACAGAGCAUCUGCACUGGGAUUGUCCGCCCCGCCUGUCAGGGAGGCCUCGGGGGCUAAUGGAGCUGAGGGUAUAGUCGGCCUUGGACCCUCGCUUUUUUCCUUUCCUGUACUAUGAAGAUAACUGCCUUAUCUCCCCCUCAGGACUGUUUUGGGGAUUAAAUAGGACGUUUAAAUUACCAACGCUCUUUGAAAUAAACAUUUCAAAAUUAUUAUAACCCUUUAGUACAUGUGGGAAAACGUUGACAUUCAUGUUCAAGUUUAUUUUUCUGCUGGCUCAUUUAGGUUUGUUGAAGCCUUGAGUCCCUAGGAUUGUCUAAGAACAUGGGUAAAUGUGUGUGGAGGCCUCCCUGGAGGCCAGAGAACUGCCAGCAGCCUUCAUGAUGUUAGGGGAACAGGAACCUAGGAGAGCCAGGGUGACAUCGUUUUAAAAUCAACAACCCAUCUUGGCGGGCGCGGUGGCUCAAGCCUGUAAUCCCAGCAGUUUGGGAGAAAAAAAUUAGCCGGGUGUGGUGGUGGGCACCUGUAAUCUCAGCUACUCAGGAGGCUGAAGCAGAAUUGCUUGAACCCAGGAGGCAGAGGUUGCAGUGAGCUGAGAUCACGCCAUGGCACUCUAGCCUGGGCAACAAGAAUGAAACUCUGUCUCAAAAAAAUAAAAAUAAAAUAAAAUAAACUCCAUCUUAAAACCAGUGAAACCACCAUUGCAAAAUUAUAACUGAGACAGUGAGAGAUCUGACCUAACCAACUCCAUCCUACUUUUAACCUCCAAACUGUCCUUGUUCAUUCCUGGGUGUAGGCCAAACUAACUUUGGAAGAAACUUAGUUUAUGGUUUCCCGAAACAAAUCCUUUUCUUGUCUGGAGACUAGACUGCCUUUGUAGGACUAACAAAUUAGCCACAAGAUUAGAAAUUAUGGUUUAGAAUUCAUGCAGCUGGAGAUUACAAGAUUCUGACCCUCCCUAAAUUGCUCCUGGGGAUAACAUCACUAUUGAAAAACCUAACAACAGUGCUUGAGAUAUUUUGCAGACCUUGCACUUGCUGAAUUAGCUGGGACCAUCCAGAUGGAUAAACUGGCUCAUCUGAUCUUGUGGCCCGCACUCAGCAACCGGCUCAGGCCAAGAGGACAGCUUUGAUCCAUACGAUUUCAUCUCUGAUCUGACCCCUCAGUGCUCCCAGCUUACUGGCCCCCUACCUACCAAAUUAUCCUUAAAAACUCUGAACUCCAGGGCUGGGCACGGUGGCUCACACCUGUAAUCCCAGGACUCUGGGAGGCCGAGGCAGGCGGAUCACUUGAGGUCAGAAGUUCAAGACCAGCCUGGCCAACAUGGCAAAACCCCGUCUCUACUAAAAAUACAAAAAUUAGCCAGGCGUGGUGGUGCACGCCUGUAAUGCCAACUACUUGGGAGCCUGAGGCAGGAGAAUUGCUUGAACCCUGAAGGCGGAGGUUGCAGUGUGCUGAAAUCGCACCACUGCACUCCAGCCUGGGCAACAGAGCAAGACUCCAUCUCAAAAACAACAGCAAAAACUCUGAACUCCGAAUUCUUGGGGAAAUUGAUUUGAGUAAUAAUAAAACUCUGGUCUCCCGCACAGCCAGCUCUGUGUGGAUUAUUCUUUCUCUAUGCAGUUCACCUGUUUGGAUAAAUCAGCUCUGUGUAGGCAACAUGAACCUGAUUGGCAGUUACAGUAGCCUGUAAUCCCAGCUACGUGGGAGGCUGAGGCAGGAGAAUUGCCUGAACCUGGGAGGCGGAGGUUGCAGUGAGCCGAGAUCAUGCCACUGCACUCCAGCCUGGGCAACAG
rnacentral:lncRNA from 10 species